UCUCCGUAGGUGAACCAGCGGAGGGAUCAUUAACAAGUUUACAACUCCCAAACCCAAUGUGGACGAUACCCAACUGUUGCCUUGGCGGGGUUACGCUCCAGGUGAGCCGCAGCACCGGAACCAGGUGUCUGCCGGAGGGACCAACCAAUCUUUUGCGGUAACCCCCUCGCGGAAGCUAUCUCCUACAGCUCUGUGCAAAAAUUCAUAAAGAAUCAAAACUUUCAACAACGGAUCUCUUUGUUCUGACUUCGGUGAAGACCGCAUCAGAUCGGAAGCGCC
rnacentral:misc_RNA from 1 species